rnacentral:lncRNA from 1 species
CCGUGGGUGGCACCCCCUUGGUGACCUUGAGGGCUGAUGUGUGUUCAGACAAAUAUGGGACAGAGGCGUGGGGACUCCAGACCAUGAGUGAGCCACAGGAGGCAUCGAAGUGGGAAUCCCAGCUUCUUGCAGAACUAUUGCUACAGGGCCAUCAGCAUGUGACACUAGGAGACUGUGCCAUGUCAUCCUUAUGUGGGUCUGGGUCACAGCCGCCCAUCUGCUGUGCUCCCUGGCUGCCUCUUUUGUGAAAAAGAAGGUGAGGAGGACCAGCGAGGAGACACGCCCACUCCAGGGGAACACCUCCUCCCACAGAGCCUUGGGAAGCUGAGAGUAGAUGUGUGCCGAUCACCACCACCUGAGGGUUCCAGGACACAGACAUCGUCAUCCCUGUUCUACAGAGGAGGAAAUGGAGCCUCCUAUGCAAAUUACAUUCUUCAUCACACCAUGGCUCUUGAAGGGCGGAGGUCUCACUGGGCUCCCUGUGUCUCAUGUCCUGCACAAGGCCUGGCUCUGAGGAGGGGCUGCACAACCUUCCUGCACAAGAAUAAAGGCGGGACCGAAGCAGUGACUGUGUGAGAGUCCAUGGAAUGCCCAGGACCAGCACUCAGGGCCUUUGUCUUCUUGUCCAAGCACCAGGGAGCAGAUAGGAGCAGCUUCGGCAAGACCCGGCUCAGUUGAAUGAAGUCGAGUGUCUUAGGUCAUGAACAGUACAGAAAGAGCUGUCCCUCUUCAGAUUCGAGCGCUGCGGGGAGGGAGGGUGUGGUGAGGGUCAUCACCUCCUGCUCCACUCCCCUGGCCAGAGCGGACUGGGCAGGGCAGCCCUGCGGAGGGGCCACUGGACAGCAGAGGUCGAGAGCAGCCUCCCUGGGGUUUGUCUGUUCCACUCUCCGGUUUUGUCAAAGAUCAUUUGAAAACUGGUCACAACAAUAUUUCCUGCUUCUUCUCAGCAGCAGUCAAGCACCCUAUCCAUGAUGUUAUAUAUAAUAAAUGGCUUUUGAUUUACUGGCAGGAAAAACAAUAUCACUACCGAUGAAAUCUUAUGCUGUGUUCUUACCAGUUAACAAGGGCAGGGUUGCUUGAUGAAGAAUCAAGUGGUUACAUGUGUUCAUUCACCAAAAGUUUAUUGAAAAACUGCUUGGGUUAUGAUCGGCCCAGGGCUAAGCACACUGAGGUGGCUGGGACACCGUCUUUGAUCUCUGGGAGCUCACAGUCUAGUUCCACUCUUUACUCUGGCCACUGGGUAGUUUAUGGCUGCAAUCUGUAACCCUUAUAAUUGAAAUAUUUGCCCC